UGGGGGAUAUUGCACAAUGGGCGAAAGCCUGAUGCAGCGACGCCGCGUGGGGGAUGAAGGCCUUCGGGUUGUAAACUUCUUUUGCUCUGAACAAGGCGCACCAUGGGGUGUGUUGAGUGUAGGGGUUGAUUAGCGCCGGCUAACUACGUGCCAGCGGCCGCGGUAAUACGUAGGGCGCGAGCGUUGUCCGGAAUUAUUGGGCGUAAAGGGCUUGUAGGUGGCUGGUUGCGUCUGUCGUGAAAGCUCAUGGCUUAACUGUGGGUUUGCGGUGGGUACGGGCUGGCUUGAGUGCAGUAGGGGAGGCUGGAAUUCCUGGUGUAGCGGUGGAAUGCGCAGAUAUCAGGAGGAAUACCGGUGGCGAAGGCGGGUCUCUGGGCUGUUACUGACACUGAGGAGCGAAAGCAUGGGGAGCGAACAGG
rnacentral:rRNA from 1 species